GACGAACGCUGGCGGCGUGCUUAACACAUGCAAGUCGAACGGACAGGCGCGGCUCUUGUGUGGUGCUCGUUUGCGGAACGGGGGAGUAACACGCGAGUAACCUGUCCCUGACUUAGGGAUAACUUCUGGAAACUGGGGCUAAUACCGCAUAGGAUCUUUUGCUCCGCGUUGGUCAAAGGUAAGUUUCGGCGGUUGUGGCUGGACUCGCUGCUUAUGCGCUUGAUGGGCGAGUAGUUGCGUACCAGGGCUAUGACGGGUAGCCGGCCUGAGAGCGGGACCGGCGACAAGGGGACUGAGGUAGGGCCCAGACUGCUACGGGAGGCAGCAGGGGGGAAUAUUGCGCAAUAGGCGGACGUCUGUUGCGGCAACGCCGGGUGCGGAAUGACGGGCUUCGAGUUGUAAACAGAUUUGGACUGAAACGAACCGUGAGUGACGGUAAUGAAUCAGAAAGCACCGGCUAACUACGUG
rnacentral:rRNA from 1 species